AUUGAACGCUGGCGGCAGGCUUAACACAUGCAAGUCGAGCGGGGUGAUGGUGCUUGCACUAUCACUUAGCGGCGGACGGGUGAGUAAUGCUUAGGAAUCUGCCUAUUAGUGGGGGACAACAUCUCGAAAGGGAUGCUAAUACCGCAUACGUCCUACGGGAGAAAGCAGGGGAUCACUUGUGACCUUGCGCUAAUAGAUGAGCCUAAGUCGGAUUAGCUAGUUGGUGGGGUAAAGGCCUACCAAGGCGACGAUCUGUAGCGGGUCUGAGAGGAUGAUCCGCCACACUGGGACGGAGACACGGCCCAGACUCCUACGGGAGGCAGCAGUGGGGAAUAUUGGACAAUGGGUGGAACCCUGAUCCAGCCAUGCCGCGUGUGUGAAGAAGGCCUUAUGGUUGUAAAGCACUUUAAGCGAGGAGGAGGCUCUUUUGGUUAAUACCCAAGAUGAGUGGACGUUACUCGCAGAAUAAGCACCGGCUAACUACGUGCCAGCCGCCGCAGUAA
rnacentral:rRNA from 1 species